GACGGAGGGUGCUAGCGUUGUUCGGAAUCACUGGGCGUAAAGGGCGCGUAGGCGGCCUUGGCAGUCGGCUCGUGAAAGCCCGGGGCUCAACCCCGGAGGUGCGGCCGAUACACCAAGGCUUGAGGCCGGAAGAGGAGGGUGGAAUACCCAGUGUAGAGGUGAAAUUCGUAGAUAUUGGGUGGAACACCGGUGGCGAAAGCGGCUCUCUGGUCCGGACCUGACGCUGAGGCGCGAAAGCGUGGGGAGCAAACAGGAUUAGAAACCCCCGUAGUCC
rnacentral:rRNA from 1 species